UUAUAUCGUCGCUGUUAUGCAAAAACCUCGUAUCUCAAUUUUUUGCGGAAAUCUUUUUAUCGAUUAUUAAGAAUUAAAUAUGUAUGUUCCACUGAAUGCGAAAAUAUCUGAUCUUCUAACCAAUCAUUAACCCGAAUUCUGACAAGUGACGAAAAAGUGUAGUCGGAUUGGUGAGACAUUUUGUUGUGCGAAAAUAUCAUAUCUCAAAAGAAAAAAAAGAUGGCACUAGCAGCUGAGAUUAUAAAAGGUACAGUUUUGUCAAUUUUUUGUCUAAUAUAUUAUGUAUAGCUUAGAAAUAAUGAAAAGCUUUGAAAAUACAAUAUAGGUGCAGAAAUUUUUGCUCGCCUUGGUAAUUGAUUGGUUAGAAGAUACGAUAUUUUUGCAUACAUUGGAACAUAAAUAUUUAAUUCUAAAUAAUCGAUAAAAAAAAUCAGUUUUUAUUGCCUGGUGUAAAAUUAUGAAAACCUUAGAUACGAGGUUUUUGCAUAACAGCGACGAUAUGACA
rnacentral:lncRNA from 1 species